CCCUCACCCCAUUCCAAAAGAAAACAUUAGAAUAAAUAAAUACCACAUAAUCUGGUCCCAGGAGUGGCUGAGGGAGACUCUCCUCUUCUGAUAAGCUGCUAUAAAAACAGCUCUUCUUCUGUCUUUAGGAGACAACACUAACGUCUGUGGUUCUACAUCCAGCAGUAAAACACCAAAAUGGGUGACGGACAAAAAAUCACCCUGAUCCUCAUGUGCAUCAUUUUACUCGGCCAACUCUGCUGGACACAGGAAGUGAACAACGAUCUAAAUUAUAGAACUUCCACGUAUGGUCAGUUGUGCUAUGAUGCCUGCCAAUUGUAUGAAAAGGAAUACUACUGGUGUAACACUAAAAAGGGCUGGGAUUACUGCUCGUUAAAACCAAACACCGAUUAUAAAGGCAACGAGUGUAAAGAUGCCCAUCCCUGUGACCUGCAUGGUAAAGAUUACUACUGGUGCUAUACAAAGACUGGGGAGUUGGGUUACUGUGGAAAAGUGGAGCAGAGAACACUGCUGUAUAUAAGUUCGACUUAUCAGAGUGAGUGCAGGGAUGAGUGUUCCUAUGAUGAGUCAGAGUCAUACUACUGGUGCAACACAGAUAAAGGGUGGGACUACUGCUCUCCAUCACCUGAUGUCACGUACAAAAAUGAGUCGUGCCGAUCCAAUCAUUCCUGUGGUACCCAUGGCUAUGACUACUCAUGGUGCUGGACAGCCACAUGCUGGGGCUACUGUGGCAUUAUUGAGACCGGUAGGAAUUACAGAACCAUUGGACGUUGGAAAAGACAACCUAAUAAUAUAGUAGAGAUCUGUACUGAGACUGACCUUGGGAACAGAAAGGUGACCAAGAUUACUGCAGAGCCUAAUCCUAGAGCAAUAGCAGAUGGAAGCAACUGGAGGAACGAGAUAAUAAACAUAAUUUCAACCUGGACCAAUGGUUUUCUGCGCAAUCAGGCUGGGACCCUCACCACAACAGAAAAUCUUCGCAUUGACAACCAGGGGCUGGUGAACAGAAAUAAUCACCAUUACUAUAACCUCCAAAUUCAGGUGAACAUAAAUCGCCAAAAUAGAAGGAGCACUACAGUGGCCCAGGUGCUAAUUCCACAAAAUGAAGAUGUUCCAGAAAGAUACGUCCGUAGGGCUUUUACUGAGAGCUUCCGCCGACGUGCCAGGGUUUUUGUGGAUGUGAGCUACGGCAACAUUCCUGUUAGGCAUGGACAAAACUGUGGCUAAAGAUAAAGUACACUGUUGAUUUGCAGACAAUGAUUUAACUUUUGAACUUCUGCUUGCUGCCUGAAACUGAAGAACCACAGCAUGCUAUUACUUUUGAACAGAUCUGAUUUACUUUAGAUUUGAUUUUGCAGAAAUAUGUAGAUCCUGUUUAAUGACACCUAUAACCACAUCACUGAGGAAGUGACAUGAGAUGAUGAUCAGUUCACAGAUUCCACUGAAUCAAACAGGAACAUCUCAUGUUUUAGCUUCAAGCAACAGAGAAAUGUACUGAAUGAUUAUCUAUUAAUAAAUGUUUUUGUUGAUGUUGGCUACCUGCAAAAUGUUCAAAAUGUACAAUUUCUAUAUCAUUCUUUUGCAGUAAAACAAAAUAAUCUGCUACAGUUCUCCAGGUCCUAUGAUGGCCAUAGUUAUAGAGUUAGCAUUAGCCAGAUGUAACAAUGGAAAUUUUCUUUCAUAUAUCACUCCGCUGAUCAUUUAUCCUGGAUAUUCAUAAUCUGAUGUUUCACACUGUACAUACAUAAACCGAACAGAUACAAAUCCAAUAUCCAAUACAUACAUUUUUCAUUUUUUCUUUUCUUUUCAUCAUCACAAGGCAGGUUAGACGUGUGCUAUUAUUUACACAGAGUUAAUAAACACCCAGUUCUUGGAGAGUCGGUGUGGACUUACGGUAAAUAAGGUUUAACUUGAAUUUUUGCCAAUGAUUGAGGACAUAGCAGCUCUGGGGCUUUGAAAAUCAUCAUCUCUUCUCACAGCAGGUAAAAAUCCUCAACAAACUGCCCCCACACCCAAAACCUCCAACCCAUUCCAAAAGAAAACAUUAGAAUAAAUACCACAUAAUCUGGUCCCAGGAGUGGCUGAGGGAGACUCUCCUCUUCUGAUAAGCUGCUAUAAAAACAGCUCUUCUUCUGUCUUUAGGAGACAACACUAGCGUCUGUGGUUCUACAUCCAGCAGUAAAACACCAAAAUGAGUGAAGGAAUAAAAAACAGCCUGAUCCUCAUGUCCAUCAUUUUCCUCAGCCAACUCUACUGGACACAGGAAGAUGAAGACUUUCAAAAUCAUUACACUUCCAAUUAUAGGCAGUUGUGUUAUGAUGCUUGCCGCAAGCGUGGAAAGAAUUACUACUGGUGCAACACUGAAAAGGGCUGGGAUUAUUGCUCAUUAAAGGAGAACAUUGACUAUAAAGGCAACGAGUGUGAAGAUGCCCAUCCCUGUGACCUGCAUGGUAAGGAUUACUACUGGUGCUAUACAAAGACUGGGAGUUGGGGUUAUUGUGGAAAAAUGGAGCCCAAAAAAGUGAAACACAAACAUCUAUAUAAAGGUUCAUAUUAUCUGCGUGAGUGCAAGAGCAAGUGUUCCAAUGACAAUUCAGAGUCAUACUACAGGUGUUACACAGAUGAAGGGUGGGACUACUGCUCUCCAUCACCUGAUGUCACGUAUAAGAAUGAGCCGUGCCGAUCCGAUCACCCAUGUGCCACUCAUGACUAUGGCUACUCCUGGUGCAAGACAGACUCAGGCUGGGACUACUGUGGCAUUUUUGAGGACAUUGGAAUUUGCGCUACUGUCACGCGUCAGAAGAGAGAAUCUGUUCAUAUAGGUGAGAUCUGUUUUCUUGACCACUUUAACAGAAAGAUGACCAAGCUGAAGCCAAAGUGGGAUCCUGAAGCUAUAGCAGAUGGAAGAAAAUAUAUUAAAGAGAUGUCACACAUAAUUGCAAAAUGGAACAACAGUUACCUACAGGAGGACAGCAAGUCCAACGUCAUCAUUACAAAUAACCUUCGUCUUGAUCUACAGGGGUUGGUGCUAAGGGAUAAUUUGCCUUAUUAUGGCCUUCAAAUUGAGAUGAAAACGCAUCGUGACGAACACAAGAGUUCCACAGUUGCUGAGGUGUUCUUGCCACAGAAUGUCAUUCCAGAAAGACACGUCCAAAUGGCCAUUAUUGAGAGCUUCUGCAACCGUGCCAGGGUUUUUGUGACUUUGAGCACCAGUUCCGGUAGUGAGGAUAACUGUGUCUUAAUCCCAUCCGAAGAUGUUGAUUAAUGAACAUUGUGUCGUAAUGAAAAACUAAGCUGUUGAUUUGCAGUCAGUGAAAUUUGCUUAAGCAACAUUUAACAUUUAAGCUUCUGCUUGCUGCCUGAAGCUGAAGAACCACAGCAUGCUAUAACUUUUGAACAUAUUUGAUUUACUUUAGAUUUGAUUGUGUAGAAAUAUGUAGAUCCUGUUUAAUGACACCUAUAACCACAUCACUGAGAAAGUGGCAUGAGUUGAUGAUCAGUACACAGAUUCCACUGAAUCAAAGAGGAACAUCUCAUGUUUUAGCUUCAAGCAACAGAGAAAUGUACUGAAUGAUUAUUAUUAUGAAAAUCUUUGCUGAUGUUGGCUACCUGCAAAAAUAUUGUUCAAAAUGUUCAAUUUCUAUCAUUCUAUUUCAAUAAAACAAAACAAAACAUUC